rnacentral:rRNA from 1 species
GCUAGCGGCAGGCCUAAUACAUGCAAGUCGAACGGGAUUAGUUGUAUUUAUAUGACUAUGAGAGUGGCGCACGGGUGCGUAACACGUAUACAAUCUGCCCCAAACUGGAGAAUAGCCCGGCGAAAGUCGGAUUAAUACUCCAUAACAUUGCGAGAUGGCAUCGUCAUGCAAUUAAAGCUUCGGCGGUUUGGGAUGAGUAUGCGCAACAUUAGCUAGUUGGCGAGGUAACAGCUCACCAAGGCUACGAUGUUUAGGGGGUCUGAGAGGAUUAUCCCCCACACUGGUACUGAGACACGGACCAGACUCCUACGGGAGGCAGCAGUGAGGAAUCUUGCGCAAUGGGCGAAAGCCUGACGCAGCCACGCCGCGUGUCGGAAGACGGCCCUAUGGGUUGUAAACGACUUUUACCAGGGAAGAACGACUGAAUUUCGAUUUGGUGUGACGGUACCUGGUGAAUAAGCACCGGCUAACUCCGUGCCAGCAGCCGCGGU